GAAUUCACUAGUGAUUAGAGUUUGAUCCUGGCUCAGAACGAACGCUGGCGGCAGGCUUAACACAUGCAAGUCGAACGGGUGCAGCAAUGCAUCAGUGGCAGACGGGUGAGUAACACGUGGGAACCUUCCUAGGGGUACUGGAACAACUCAGGGAAACUUGAGCUAAUACCGUAUACGUCCGUGAGGAGAAAGAUUUAUCGCCCCUAGACGGGCCCGCGUCGGAUUAGCUAGUUGGUGGGGUAACGGCCUACCAAGGCGACGAUCCGUAGCUGAUCUUAGAGGAUGAUCAGCCACACUGGGACUGAGACACGGCCCAGACUCCUACGGGAGGCAGCAGUGGGGAAUCUUGGACAAUGGGCGCAAGCCUGAUCC
rnacentral:rRNA from 1 species